rnacentral:rRNA from 1 species
AAACCCGAAAGUUCGAACGGGGAGAUUCAAUUGAUUUACCGGUGAUGAUCAAUAGUGCAGUAUUUGGGACGCAUAUGAUAUGCAGUUUCGAUUGUAUUAUUAUAUACGCUCUGCUGUCUGUUGUUUAUUUAUUGUCGGAGUCAUGCACUUCUCCCCUUGUAGGACGUCGUGACCCGUUGAGCAAUUUAA